GGGGCGGGGUGGCCUAUAAUGCAAGUCGAGCGCAGGAAGCAGGCAGAUCCCCUUCGGGGGUGAUGCCUGUGGAAUGAGCGGCGGACGGGUGAGUAACACGUGGGCAACCUGCCUGUAAGAUCGGAAUAACUCCGGGAAACCGGGGCUAAUGCCGGGUAAUCCUUUUUUUCGCAUGAGAGAGAGGUAAAAGAUGGCCUUUGGCUAUCACUUACAGAUGGGCCCGCGGCGCAUUAGCUAGUUGGUGAGGUAAUAGCUCACCAAGGCGACGAUGCGUAGCCGACCUGAGAGGGUGAUCGGCCACACUGGGACUGAGACACGGCCCAGACUCCUACGGGAGGCAGCAGUAGGGAAUCUUCCGCAAUGGACGAAAGUCUGACGGAGCAACGCCGCGUGAACGAUGAAGGUCUUCGGAUCGUAAAGUUCUGUUGUUAGGGAAGAACAAGUACCGUGCGAAUAGAGCGGUACCUUGACGGUACCUAACGAGGAAGCCCCGGCUAACUACGUGCCAGCAGCCGCGGUAAUACGUAGGGGGCAAGCGUUGUCCGGAAUUAUUGGGCGUAAAGCGCGCGCAGGCGGUUUCUUAAGUCUGAUGUGAAAGCCCACGGCUCAACCGUGGAGGGUCAUUGGAAACUGGGGAACUUGAGGACAGAAGAGGAGAGUGGAAUUCCACGUGUAGCGGUGAAAUGCGUAGAUAUGUGGAGGAACACCAGUGGCGAAGGCGACUCUCUGGUCUGUUUCUGACGCUGAGGUGCGAAAGCGUGGGUAGCAAACAGGAUUAGAUACCCUGGUAGUCCACGCCG
rnacentral:rRNA from 1 species